UACGUAGGGGGCAAGCGUUGUCCGGAAUCAUUGGGCGUAAAGAGCGUGUAGGCGGCCAGAUAAGUCCGCUGUGAAAUCUCGAGGCUCAACUUCGAGCUGUCGGUGGAAACUGUCUGGCUAGAGUCCGGAAGAGGAGAAUGGAAUUCCAGGUGUAGCGGUGAAAUGCGUAGAUAUCUGGAGGAACACCGGUGGCGAAGGCGGCAUCCUGGACCAACACUGACGCUGAGUGAGCGAAAGCCAGGGGAGCAAACGGG
rnacentral:rRNA from 1 species